CAGCAGCCGCGGUAAUACGAAGGGUGCAAGCGUUACUCGGAAUUACUGGGCGUAAAGCGUGCGUAGGUGGUGGUUUAAGUCCGUUGUGAAAGCCCUGGGCUCAACCUGGGAAUUGCAGUGGAUACUGGAUCACUAGAGUGUGGUAGAGGAUAGUGGAAUUUCCGGUGUAGCAGUGAAAUGCGUAGAGAUCGGAAGGAACAUCUGUGGCGAAGGCGACUAUCUGGGCCAACACUGACACUGAGGCACGAAAGCGUGGGGAGCAAACAGGAUUAGAGACCCCUGUAGUCCCUGUCUCUUAUAA
rnacentral:rRNA from 1 species